GACGAACGCUGGCGGCGUGCUUAACACAUGCAAGUCGAACGGAAAGGCCUGCUUUCCCUUGUGGAUUGCGGGUACUCGAGUGGCGAACGGGUGAGUAACACGUGAGUGAUCUGCCCCCAACUUGGGUAUAAGCCUGGGAAACUGGGUCUAAUUCCCGAUAGGACUGCAGGGUGGUGCCUGUGGUGGAAAACGAUUUACUAGUGGUUGGGGAUGAGCUCGCGGCCUAUCAGCUUGUUGGUGGGGUAAUGGCCUACCAAGGCGGCGACGGGUAGCCGGCCUGGGGGGGUGGACGGCCACAUUGGGACUGAGAUACGGCCAAGACUCCUACGGGAGGCAGCAGUGGGGAAUAGUGCACAAUGGGCGGAAGCCUGAUGCAGCGACGCCGCGUGGGGGAUGACGGCCUUCGGGUUGUAAACUCCUUUCGACCGCGAGGAAGCCACCUGGUUGGAAGGGUGGUGACGGUAGUGGUAGAAGAAGCACCGGCUAACUACGUG
rnacentral:rRNA from 1 species